CUACUAUCACUUUGAUCGAUCUGUUGGUGGUCCCCCUGUCUCUACAUUCGGUACUUCAUCGUUGGGUUUUGGCUCUCAUUCGACAUUUUUCCCUGCAUCAUUGGCAUUUUCUUCUCAACCUCAGCAUUUGGGGAGAGGAUCGGUGGUCAUCAAGUGGGCCACGUAUUUGUGGGCUGUCAACUCCUGAUCAUACUACUCAUAGGCCUGUCCGUAUAGGCUCAAGUGUUCCUGCCGCUCACCUGCGUCUUGGUCCUCCAAAGCUUCAUUAGUUAGGCCUGCUGCUGGGUUAGAAGACCAAGGUGCAUCUGGUUCAGACAUAUAGCCCAGAAACUAUGAUAAGCCUUAUAUUCCUCUCCUGGUCAAUUCCGUUGCACCCACCACGUGGUAUCCUGAUUUGUGCGCCUCUAACCACUUCUGUCAAGAGGCAACCUCGUUAUAUAAUUCCAUCGGUUAUUCAAGUAGUAUUUCUCUCCGUAUGGGUGAUGGUACAAGUGCUAAAAUUGAAAGUUUGGGUCAUUGUUAAAUUGCCACUACUCUAAAAAUUCUCCAUUUAAAUAAUGUUUUACAUGUGCCUAAAAUUCAGAAAAACUUGUUAUUUGUCUCGCAAUUUGCACAGAAAAAUAAUUUUUAUUUCGAAUUUCAUUCGUUUCACUGUCUUGUUAAGGAUUAAAGACUCAGGAAAUAUUAUUACGGAGGCACACACAUGAAGGGCUAUAUCGAUUCUCUCCGGGUCAAAAUCAAUCUGUUCUGAAUGCGAAGUCAACUGUUCUCACUACUGAACUAUGGCAUAGAAGACUUGACCAUCCUUCAUCCACGGUUGUUAACUCUGUUUUGAAAGCUUGUAAUAUUUCUGUUCCAAGUAAUAAAAUUUCCCGCAUAUGUACAGCUUGUCAACAGGGAAAAUCUCACAAAUUUCCUUUUUCACCUUCUAGUAAUACUUUACUUGUCCAUUUGAACUUCUUGUUUUGGACUUAUGGGGUCCAGCUGCUAUCAAUUGUGGAAAUGAUUGGUACUACAUUGCUUUUAUUGAUGUUUUUAGUCGGUUCACUUGGAUAUUUCUUAUUCAA